ensembl:lncRNA
AUAGUAUUAAGAAGAAUCCUCAAUAAUCAGAAGAUGCCCAAUAUACAAGCACUUGGUGACAGUAGGAAGGAAAAACUCAAUUUUAACAGGAAGGAAAUUCAAGCAGAACCAGGCUCAGAGAGGAAAUCUACCACAAUUGGCUGGUGACAGAGAGGAGAGCAGAGAGACACUGGGGGAGAAAUGGCACACUAUGGGAUAGACAGAGUUUAAUGAUUACUAUUAGUUAAAUGGAUAAUAUGUCAAACUCUGAACACUGAUUUGCAAAUUAUGGAAUUUUUAGUAAAGAGGUAGGAAUAAGUAAGUGUAAACUUCAUUCUACUCCUUUGAGUAUAGACGUAUGGAUGUAGAGAUAUUCAUGAUAACUUCACGUCUUUGUGUGUUUGCAAAGUUUUUCUUUUUCUUGUUAUUUUAGCUAUAUUUACAUAUUAGAAAUAAACACUGUUUUAUUCUACUCUAAUAGUGGCAUAUAAACAGAGAGGGUGAAUGAAGUGAAUAUGUUAAGCUAAAACAGCAUAACCUUUUCUUGAAAAUGAACAGUUUUUGCACAAAUCUGAACUCAAAUCUCUUCUUAAAUCUAGUUUCUUUCAGUUUGGCUUUUUUUUUUUUUAGUUCUUUUGUUUUUUUCCCCGCAGUUUCCAAGAAGAGCACUCGGAAAGGCUGCUCCGUUUGUGCCACAAGUUCAUUCAAGAUUCUUUAUUUGUCACAUGCAUAGUUUUACUAGAGUUUACUAGACUUUAGAGUACGACGUGCACUGAAACGGUCCUCUACUACUGUGCAUAAACAGGAUAUUAUAUACAGUAAAUAGUUAAUUAUAAACAUUAAGUAUAUUAAAUAAAACAAUCUGGAAAUUUUACAUUUAAAGUCUGAAAAUGUACAUUGUGCCAGUGGAAUGUUAAAGUGUCUCGUGCAUACAUUACAACGUUCACGUUCCAUGCAGUAACGCCAACACUUGGACUCCGCCCCCGGGCCUCGUGCUCAGUUUGAGUGUUCUUGAGUUAAAAGUGGCAAGUAUGGCACGGAUGUAAACAAGGUCACGGCCUUGACCCUUACAAAGCGGGACUUCCUGUAGUAUAAAAGUGAGCUUUGCUUUCUUGCACUUGAUCUGAGAGAUCGGGUGCAGGUAGGUAACUGAUUUGCUUUUUUAAAGCCACCAUUAAAUUCGCCAUUUUGUGGUGCGCGUGCCCUGUAUUCCUCCCUCGUUUCUUCUUGUCUGCCAGUUAGAGUUAGCUGGCAUGCUAGCAAUGGAUAGCAU